CUAAUAAUGAACAAAACAAAAUGGAUAUUUGUAGAGCCAUCUAUAAUCUGUCCUUUCUUUUUCUGCUCUUAUAUAAACGCUCAUUAUUAAAACAAUUACAUUGUUGGAUAAAUCGAUUGUUAUUUACAACACUAAAUAGAUUCAUUAAUAAAUAAACAUUCUGACUUAAAUAUUGGCCUAAAAUAACUACAACUUUUGUAUACAGAAAUUAAUACAAACAGGAAUUGAGAAUGGAAUUUUUUUUUAAGUAUGUAAUUCUUUCUCUAGAACAUAUACUUUUAUAUCAAUUGCGUAUCUGUCCUAUAUUUUAUUGUAUUUUUUUUUGUUUACAAACACAAACAAACAUUUAAGAGUUUAAUAUUAUCAUUUUACAAUACACUAAAGUCAGAUUAGUAAAGUUAUUUAUAUUGAUUACUUAACACACACACACACACAUACACACAGAGACAGAAGAUUUGUCAUUUAAGUCUAUGCACAUUUAAGUCUAUGCACAUUUAAGUCUAUGCACAUUUAAGUCUAUGCACAUUUAAGUGUAUUUUCAGAGAAAAUUUGUUUUCGUAAUUCAUACAAUCGGGAAAAUAUUUAUUAAAAAAAAAAAAAAAAAUUAUUUCAUAUGAUUUAUUUAUAAAAUUAUUGAUAUUCGGACUAGAGGUAUUCAGGUACCGGCUAAACAAUGGCGACAAUCGGGGAGCUCCAGUCUGACGAGCUAUGUUAGUAUUCAUUAGCUGUCGGGGGGAUUUUCUUAUUCUAUCUUUAGUCUCCCUCAUGUUUCUAGAUUAUUCCAAUUGUUUACUACGACCAUUGGUCGGGAGAAAAAAUCAUCUAAUGCGCAUGCGUGCAUUUAAUAAUCAUAUAUAAUAAACGUACACGAUUAAUGUUCAAUUAUUUGCCGCUAGCGUUGUUUUGCUCUUUUUAGUGUUCAUUCAUUCACAAUUUGAACAGAAAAAGCCACAGACAUACAAGAAUGAAGUACAGCCUGCUCUUCCUAUUCUUAUCAAUGCUUAAUCUCCUGGGUCAAGCAGCUGCAGACAAUGAAAACUCUGACUAUAGAUCAGCUUUACUUAUACCAGCAGUUGCACUGAUCGUACUGGUCAUAGCAGUGGUAGUCGUUCUUAAGGCUAAACAAACGCCAAACAAACGCACUGGCCACCAACCAAAUAUUAGCGUCGCUUGUUCAAACCCCAACAGUUCCACAGAGAGCUCUAGUGUGGCUAAGGAGGUGGACGUCCCAGGGCAGGGAACCUACGACAGAGCUAGAGAUUUCAAAAGAGAAAUGAUGCUGAGACAGACUGUACAAAAUUCAAAUGUUUGAGUAUGGACAUAUUAAGGGUUUUAAGACCCUUAAGGGCUUAAAAGACAACAGUCUACAUGGCACAGUAAAAAAUGUGGAAAAAAAAUGGAAGUACGCGAAAGAGAAGGGCUCAUGAAAUCAUGCAGUGGACUGGGCUAUUUUUUAUGUCCAGAAGAAUGGAACGUAAAAGAUUGUCAGAAUUUUUUUCAAUGUGUCGCAUCAUACCUCUAAAGAUGUUAUUCAAUAUUCAAAAACUCUAUUUAUACCUGAUGUCAUAUCUAGUGUAAUGGGUAUAACCUUUUUACAACGCUUGUAUCAACUCAUUUCAUCUGUCUGUGUGUAUGUCUGGUAACAUUGUGUACACGUUAUUUCUCCCACACCCAUUUUCGGUCCAAGUUGAAACUUCGCAAAAUUAUUCAUUGGCAUAGACAUAGACAAGACGUGAAUCACUAAAAAAAAAAUCAAUUGGUAAUUAAUUUUUUUGAUACCACCAAACUAAUCAUACAGAAUCUAUUUAUAUGGCUAAAUUUGUUGGGUUUAGUUCCCUUACAUAAUUCUUAAUCCUAUUUCUCACUAACGCAUUCUCCGAUCAAGACAUGAAUCAUUUAAAAAAAUAGCCAAUUAUUCAUUAAUGUUGGUAACUCAUUUUUUCUGUUUGCUAUCGAAAAAGGGAAAUAGCUUGUAAAUUAUUGAUAGAUAUAGUUUCAAGAUGGAUCCCCCUUUAGAUAAACUUUUUCUUUUUUAAUAUUUUUUAUAUUUUGCUUGUUUUGUUAUUACAUGGGUAUGGAAGCUUUAUAUGUUUUGAAACUAGGUUUUUUAUACUACCUUUUUUGAAACAUUAAAUUUUAUUGAACUAAGCACCAUGCCACCAGUAAGCAAAGCAAAGGUAACUACACCUCACAGGGUGUUUAGGGCUUCCAUUCAGACAAUUUGAAGUCGCCUGAAUCCAUCUAACUCUAAUGGGUACCCGAGUUUAGUUGGGGAAAGUAAUGGCGGCUGGUCGUUGUGUUGGCCACAUGACACCCUGCUCGUUAACCCUUGGUCAUAGAAACAUGAACUUAACAUCAUCUGCCCAAUACAUUGCAAGGUCUUUACUAACAUAUGACCUAUUAUUGGUGCUAAUUACUUGCUUGACCUUUGAACUCGUUCACAAAAAACCCACUAGUAUGCAUUUCUAUCUUACAUUAGGAUAUCUAUAAAUGUUAAUAUUAAUGUUAUCGUAAUAAUGUCUGACAGUGAUAAUUUUAGUUUUGUAAUCAAACAUUGUGUUUCCUUUGUGACUGACUAUUAAAAUCUUUAACUCUGGACAAAUAAAAUAGUAAUUAUAAAACUUUGUAAAACUUGUGAAUAAAAAUUAAAAAAGAAAGUUAAAAAAUGUA